rnacentral:rRNA from 1 species
AGCAUUAUACNGCGAAACUGCGAAUGGCUCAUUAUAUAAGUUAUCGUUUAUUUGAUAGUGCCUGUCCUACUUGGAUAACCGUGGUAAUUCUAGAGCUAAUACAUGCUAAAAAUCCCGACUUCGGAAGGGAUGUAUUUAUUAGAUUAAAAGCCAAUGCCCUUCGGGGCUCCCUGGUGAUUCAUAAUAACUUCACGGAUCGCACGGCCUUGCGCCGGCGAUGGUUCAUUCAAAUUUCUUCCCUAUCAACUUUCGAUGUUUGGGUAUUGGCCAAACAUGGUGGCAACGGGUAACGGAGGGUUAGGGCUCGACCCCGGAGAAGGAGCCUGAGAAACGGCUACUACAUCCAAGGAAGGCAGCAGGCGCGCAAAUUACCCAAUCCCAAUUCGGGGAGGUAGUGACAAUAAAUACUGAUACAGGGCUCUUUUGGGUCCUGUAAUUGGAAUGAGUACAAUUUAAAUCCCUUAACGAGGAACAAUUGGAGGGCAAGUCUGGUGCCAGCAGCCGCGGUAAUUCCAGCUCCAAUAGCGUAUAUUAAAGUUGUUGUGGUUAAAAAGCUCGUAGUUGAACCUUGGGCCUGGCUGGCCGGUCCGCCUCACCGCGUGCACUGGUCCGGCCGGGCCUUUCCCUCUGUGGAACUCCAUGCCCUUCACUGGGUGUGGCAGGGAAACAGGACUUUUACUUUGAAAAAANUANAGUGCUCCNGGCANGCCUUUGCUCNAAUACAUUAGCAUGGAAUAAUAAAAUAGGACGUGCGGUUCUAUUUUGUUGGUUUCUAGGACCGCCGUAAUGAUUAAUAGGGACAGUUGGGGGCAUCAGUAUUCCGCAGUUAGAGGUGAAAUUCUUGGAUCUGCGGAAGACUAACUGCUGCGAAAGCGUUUGUCAAAGAUGUUUUCAUUAAUCAGGAACGAAAGUCAGGGGAUCGAAGACGAUCAGAUACCGUCGUAGUCUUGACCAUAAACUAUGCCGACUAGGGAUCGGGCGAUGUUAUAUUUUGACUCGCUCGGCACCUUACGAGAAAUCAAAGU